rnacentral:rRNA from 1 species
AGCAGCCGCGGUAAUUCCAGCUCCAAUAGCGUAUAUUAGUGUUGUUGCGGUUAAAAAGCUCGUAGUUGAAUUUCGGGAUUGGGAUAUAUCGAUUGUGCCUUUAGGGGCAUGAAACGGUGUGUAGCCAAUUUCUCACCUUCUGGUGAUUCGGGAUGCUCUUGGGUGUUUCGAUGAAUCAGGACCUUUACUUUGAAAAAAUUAGAGUGUUUAAAGCGGGCAUUUUUGCUUGAAUACAUUAGCAUGGAAUAAUAAAAUAGGACGAUGGUUCUAUUUUGUUGGUUUUUAGGAUCACGUAAUGAUUAAUAGGGAUAGUUGGGGGCAUUAGUAUUCAAUUGUCAGAGGUGAAAUUCUUGGAUUUAUUGAGGACUAACUACUGCGAAAGCAUUUGCCAAGGAUGUUUUC